CAAACAAGGUGUUCGGCUCCCAGUGACUGAAGUCACAUUGGGACACACACAACGCUGCCAUCAUUAGAGGCAGGUUAUUUUUAAACCUAGCCUACGGUCGCGGGCUCCUUUCCAUCAAAACAUUCAGCGUUAUUUCAGCUGAAUACUGCCAUUUAAAUCCACCAGCGAACCUAGAGGGAGACUUUGGAAGACGUGAUACUUGGAUUCCACAUGUGCUGUGCUGGACCAGCUUCCUUCCACGCUCCCACAAAGAAUAAACACGGAAAUUCACACGACUUUCCCGGGGUAGCAGACAACCUUCAAAGAGAAAAAAAUAUGUGAGCAUUCUGGAAAAGAACAGAAAAAGUCUCUAGAUGGUUGCUAUGCACGAAUGCUCCGGAUGGCUCUUGAUGUGAGUUGGCAACAGUACAUGACGAACGUUGAGCUCUAUAACAACCUACCGACGCUCUCCACUAAAAUCGAGGCGAGAAGACUGCAACUAGCGGAACACUGUCUACGCCACCCCGAGCUACCUGCCAGCCUAGUCAUCAUAUGGGAGCCCAAGCACGGGAGGAUGAACCCUGGGCGCCCUCCCAAGACUAUGGUCAACAUGCUCCGAGAAGACAGCGGCGCGGCUAAUGUAGAUGAACUGAACACACUGAUGAGGGAGAGGGAGAAGUGGAAAGUCUAUCAUCGUGCCCGACGCUGGCCCCCUAGGCCUGAGUUGACGUAGUAGUAGUUCAUUAACCCAUUGUUGCAAUUCCCAUUUGGGUGGCAUCCUUCAAUACGGUGCCCAAGCAAUCUUUUUUUUAUGUGGAAAGUUGAACAAUUGAUGAUGGGCUCUUCAACUGAGGUAAUUGUAAUUGAGCCCAAUCCUGUUUCAGCCAGUGUCCUUAUGGAUGUACGUGCAGAGCAAUCAAGAUCAAAAACCAAGGCAAAUAGAGUCAAGCAUAAUGUCUCCAUUACUGCUGAAAGACAUCAUAUUCUAAAAUCAGAACUUAAAUAAGUAUAAUUGACGGUGGAAAAAUAAAUAGUGAAUUUUCAUUUAUUAUAAAUAACAAAACUUUUAGAAUGUAUUUAUGACAGCACACAUAAUUCAUAAAUUGUUUGAGUUUUGCUGCUGUUUGUCAUUUCAUCUAUGCAUAUUAUGGUUUCAUUGAGCUGUUUUCCAUCAGAUGACCUACUCUGUGUUCUUAAUUUUUAGUCGGUGGUACUUGGGUCUUUUUGAUUAGGAUGUACCUCUGUAAAACUUGUGUAAUAUUGUGAUGUUUUACUAUUUCUCCUGCUUAUGCAGGCCUCUGUGUGCUGCCAGUGCAAACUCAAUAUCAUCUUGAAUGCCCUUUCUCAAUUUUGAGUGGUCCUGGGGUGAGAGGUUCCAAGGAGCAUCUCUUCAAGGAGGCUUUGAGCACAUUGUUGACGUUUUUUUUCUCUCUGUCCACCUGGUAAUCUGCUUCCAUGACUGAGAUCAGACUUGUGUGUCUACUUUGGAUCUUUGAUGUCAGGUGUUCCAACAACAUAUCAAAAACAGGCAACACACACAAAAUGCUGGAGGAACUCAGCAGCUCAAGCAGCAUCGAUGGAAGAGAGUAUGGUCAAUGUUUCAGGCCAAGACCCUCCAUCAGAACAGAAGAAAAAAUGAUGAGGAAUCAGAGUUCAAAUGUUGAUUCUGAAUAUCAUGGCAAAACAAGCAUUUAUUGCUCAUCCCCAAGUUCCUCUGAGAAGUCACGGCCUUGAAUCACUGACACACAAGAUUCUACAGAAGUCCUGAUGAAGGGGUCUCGCUGUGAACUCGGCUGCUGCCUCUGUUGCUGCUGUCGUUGGUGUUGCUUGUGUUGUCCUGCUGAACACCGUGGGCACGCUACGUUGGUGCUGGAAUGUGCGGUAACACUUGCGGGCUGCCCCCAGCACGUUACUCCGGUCAUAUUGGUUGUUAAUGCAAAUGAUGCAUUUCGCUAUACGUUUUGAUGUAUGUGUA